AGGAUUUGAUCCUGGCUCAGGAUGAACGCUAGCUACAGGCUUAACACAUGCAAGUCGAGGGGCAGCAUGUUGGUUGCUUGCAACCGAUGAUGGCGACCGGCGCACGGGUGCGUAACGCGUAUCCAAUCUGCCCUGUGCUCGGGGAUAGCCUUGCGAAAGUAAGAUUAACACCCGAUGGUCUCCCUGGCCCGCAUGGUCCUUGGAGUAAAGUUUCACGGCACGGGAUGUGGAUGCGUCCGAUUAGGUAGUAGGCGGGGCAACGGCCCACCUAGCCGACGAUCGGUAGGGGUUCUGAGAGGAAGGUCCCCCACACUGGAACUGAGACACGGUCCAGACUCCUACGGGAGGCAGCAGUGAGGAAUAUUGGUCAAUGGUCGGAGGACUGAACCAGCCAAGUAGCGUGAGGGAAGGCGGCCCUACGGGUUGUAAACCUCUUUUGUUCGGGAAUAACAGGGUCCACUUGUGGUCCUCUGCAUGUACCGUUCGAAUAAGCAUCGGCUAAUUCCGUGCCAGCAGCCGCGGUAAUACGGAAGAUGCGAGCGUUAUCGCGGAAUCAUUGGGUUUAAAGGGAGCGUAAGCGCGCCUUUUGAGUCAGCGGUUAAAUGUCAGCGCCCAACGUUGGCGUGCCGUUGAUACUUGAGGGCUUGAGUUCACACAAGGAAGGUGGAAUUCGUCGUGUAGCGGUGAAAUGCUUAGAUAUGACGAGGAACCCCGCUUGCGAAGGCAUCCUUCUGGGGUGUUACUGACGCUGAGGCUCGAAAGCGCGGGUAUCAAACAGGAUUAGAUACCCUGGUAGUCCCCU
rnacentral:rRNA from 1 species